AAUAUGCUUGCAAGGAGGAGAAGGAAAUACAACAACAACAAAAGGCAGAGUUUAUGUCUUACUCGCAACCAGAUUCCAGGAAACCAAGAUCACACAUAAUGAAGUCUUUUGUACCUUUAUUAUUCAGAUCCUCGUACAGUAAAAACACCUGCUCAAUGGGCGUCUACUGAGCGGAACUUCCUACCGAUGAAACUCCAGUCCCGAUCCCGAGCCGCAUCCCUGCGGUGGUAGCAUCCUCUGCACGUUCCGCUUCUUUCGGAUGGCACGAUAGACGGAGGCCAUCUGCACGCAGGAAGUCUCCAGUUCACGCCCAAGGCAUGGGGCGCUUGCACCGCCAAGUCCUCCUCACCAACUUCCUCGACGGCGGCGGCUGUAGGAGCAUUGUAGGCAGCACCCAACCACUCCUUGCAUCAUCGAGAUCGCCUCCCCUCCCC
rnacentral:lncRNA from 1 species